rnacentral:hammerhead_ribozyme from 1 species
AUCGAAUUGACGAAUCCCAAAUGGGGCGAAACGCGAGUCCUUGAU